rnacentral:misc_RNA from 1 species
GAUGAAGAGCAGCGAAACGCGAUAGUUAAUGUGAAUUGCAGAAUUCAGUGAAUCAUCGAGUCUUUGAACGCACAUUGCGCCUUUUGGUAUUCCGAGAGGCACGCCUGUCUGAGCGUCAGUAAAACCCUUCGGUUUGACGAUUUAUUGUCUCGCCGGCGUUGGCGGUUUUUGGGUCCUUGUGGCUCGAUUCCGUUUAAACACUGACACGCGGAGAUUAAGGUGUUAAAGGAUUAACCCCUCAUCGAUUAGUAGAAAUAUUUAUCUUUGAAGAUUAUGACUUUAAAACCCCACCCCCUAUACAAAAUAGGGAGCUUCUUUUUUGGAGCACCCGACCUUGAAUUUUGACCUCAGAUCAGACGAGGAUACCCGCUGAACUUAAGCAUAUCAAUAAGCGGAGGA